rnacentral:rRNA from 1 species
GAUGAACGCUAGCGAAGGCUUAACACAUGCAAGUCGAGGGACCGGCGGAUGGGUGCGUAACGCGUAUGCAACUUGCCUCACAGAGGAGAAUAACCCGGAGAAAUCCGGACUAAUGCUCACUACUGUGAGAUAGGCAUGAGUCCUAUUAGGUCGUUGGUGAGGUAACGGCUCACCAAGCCGACGAUCGGUGGGGGUGCUGAGAGGCAGUCCCCCCACAUUGGGACAGAGACCCGGCCCAAACUCCUACGGGAGGCAGCAGUGAGGAAUAGUGGUCAAUGGAGGAAGCUCGGAACCAGCCAAGUCGCGUGAAGGAAGAAUGUCUAAGGAUUGUAAACUUCUUUAGCGAGCGAGUAAGUAGCUCGAGAAUAAGUAUCGGCUAACUCCGUGCCAGCAGCCGCGGUAAUUC